CUACGGGGUGCAGCAGUGGGGAAUAUUGCACAAUGGGGGAAACCCUGAUGCAGCAACGCCGCGUGGAGGAUGACGCAUUUCGGUGUGUAAACUCCUUUUAUAUAGGAAGAUAAUGACGGUACUAUAUGAAUAAGCACCGGCUAACUCCGUGCCAGCAGCCGCGGUAAUAGGGAGGGUGCAAGCGUUACUGGAAUCACUGGGCGUAAAGCGCGCGCAGGCGGCCUUUUAAGUUGGAUGUGAAAGCCUAUGGCUUAACCAUAGAACUGCAUCCAAAACUAUCAGGCUAGAGUCUGGGAGGGGAAGAUGGAAUUAGUUGUGUAGGGGUAAAAUCCGUAGAGAUAACUAGGAAUACCAAAAGCGAAGGCGAUCUUCUGGAACAGUACUGACGCUGAGGCGCGAAAGCGUGGGGAGCAAACAGGAUUAGAUACCCCCGUAGUC
rnacentral:rRNA from 1 species